CUCAGCUUCUAAUUCCCAGUAGGCGGAGCAGAGGACUUCUGUUCCGUCAGCCUUAGGCCAGUUGGUUUCACUUGAGAGACGUUGGUGGCUCCCUUGUGGCUGAGAGAAAGGCACUGAAAAUAACUCCGUCUUUCUUAAGAUGUCUGAAAGCGACAGCUCUGCACCUGUCAUACAAGUUAAAUUCAUCCCAGGCAGUACUUGAACUUCCAUCUUCCCUCCUGAUCCCCCAAAUUUUAAGGUGCUAUCAGGAAACAAAAUAGGCUGAGGAAGCAGUAGUUGUCCUGGUGGCGGCUGUGGUGCUGAUGAAGGAGGUGGUGGAAUGCAUAGGUGCCCAUGCUUUUUGUCACAAUGAAGAUCAAAAACCUUCCUUUUGAUGAGAAGAAAAAGCCUCAUUCUGAUUCAACAGCAGAGAUCAAAGAAAAGACUUCUGUUUGCUGGCCAUCAGAUAUAUGUUAUCUGUGUUUAAAGAAUUGAAAAACACACAUCAAAGGAACAUUCUCUUGGAAAGAGAGAAGUUUCAGAGGGAUGCUGGUGAUUUGGUGAGAAAGAAGCAACUAUUUCUGUGAUUUAAUUUCAACAUGAGUAUUGAAGAGGCUACCCUUUAUCCUUUUACUACUGUUGAUAACUCCAUGCUUCCAAGAACUAAUGGGUUGAAGAACUUAGCACUUGUGAUGGAUUAGUCAAGCAAAAAUUAUGAAGUUUUCAGUUACGGAAGCAUUGAGAAUUCCCUGUGGCUGAAUAAGGGCAAAUCUUUAAGGCAAGUUGAAGAUCCAGGCUGCCCAUGUGGACAUCAAUACUCCCACAGAGCACUCGCCAUGAAGAAAAGUGUGGGCUUGCUGUCUUUUCAUCAAAACUCCUAGAAUUUGGCUGACUGCCUGGUUUAUCCCAGGACAUUAGUCAGCCCACAAAUCCCACAUUUGUUUAUUCAGUGCAGAGCAAGUGAAUGCUGCCAUUCUCUCAUCUCCUUUGUUGGCAACACUUUGUUAACCUGAAUUGAGUUCUGCAACACAAAAUGAAGUGACUAAUCUUUUGAGGGGUUCCCCCUCCCAGGUUCUUGUAUGAGCAAUUAAAUCUAUAUACCGCAAAGCCCGAUGCUGUCAUUUUUUCUCAUGCUGCCUCUUUAUUCUGAUGAUUUCACAUUGUAGUUAAUGAAACUAAUACCUUCUAGAGUGUGGUUGAACUGGCACCACCAUUAAGAAAAGGGGUUUCCAAACUUUUUAGUUUUGUGAGAAAAUGUUAGAGGAAGAGGGAAGUUAGGUUGAUUAUUUAUACUUAUGUACUCUUCCAUGAAUUUGCAGUAAUUAUCACCGUAUACUCUCAAAAGUUUUCUAGCUCUGAGUAUGUGAGUCUCAAAGUACAAGCAGUAGGAAUCUUAGCACAAAACAACCAGUUUGGACUAUCACACAGUUAAUAUAGGAUAGAUCUAGAGUAUGGACCUAAACAGACUAUGUAUUCUUUAUCACUAAGUUAUUUAUCUAUCUACAAGUGUCUAAAAAGACCUGGACUUUUUAGCGAAAGUUUGAGAAUCUAGGUUUCUAAGUUUCUAUUGACCAUGAAAGAGUGAAUAGUUUUAGAAGACAGUUGGGGGCAACAUAGUACAAGACAGAAGAGGGGCUGAAGAAAAUCAUAAAGUUGAAUAUGUUUGCCAUAGGCCCCAGCUGUUUUUCAGCAUGUUUCACCUAGCAGCUUGGCAAAUAAUUCUCAUUGAUCAUUAGGUCUAUGAGAUUCAUGGAAAUUCUAUGUGAUUCAUAAAGUUUUGGCCCUGACUAUGUGUACCGUUGAUAACUUGUUUUUCUCUCUCCUUCUUCCCUUUUCCUCCAACUUGUAUCCAGAGCUACCUUCCAGAUUUUCUAUCACUGUCUUUCUUUCCAGUGUAAAAGAAUGCAAGUAUGUAUCACAUAGAAUUAUAAAAAUAUCAAAUGAUAGGACUGAAAAUCAAAUCAACAUCUUUCCUAUGUGAAAACCUGUGUUCUUUCUGCUCUACUUCCUGAAAUUUAAUUUAAAUUUAAAUUUAAUUUUAUUUGUUGUUAUUGCUGUUUUUUUCUUGAAGCAGAGGCUCACUCUGUCUCAGCUCACUGCAACCUCUGCCUCUCACGUUCAAGCGAUUCUCCUGCCUCAAUCUUCCAAGGAGCUGGGAUUACCGGUACCUGCCAUCAUGUCUGGCUAAUUUUUGUAUUUUUAGUAGAGAAAGGGUUUCACCAUGUUGGUCAGGCUGGUCUUGAACUCCUCACCUCAAGUGAUCUGCCUGCCUCAGCCUCCCAAAGUGCUGAGAUUACAGGCGUGAGCCACCUUGUGUGGCCUGCCUGACUUUUAAAAAUGAUUAAACUCACAUUUAUUAUUUAUCAGAUGCCUCUGCCACUUUAUGUUUCUAAAAUUUAUUUUUUUUUAUUAAGGUAUAGUUAAAUAAAAAUAUUUAUUGUGUAAAGGGGAAUGUUUUGAUAUACGUAUACAUUGUGAAAUGGUUAAAUUAAACUAAGGUAUCUGUCACCUCAUACGCAUAUCAUAGUUUUGUGGUGAGAACAUUUAUGAUCUACUCUCUUGGCAAUUUUUUAAUAUUCUGCUGUCUGACUUCUAACCCAAGGCUUGGAUUAGGACAGUCUUUGUAGCUUAGUUUUAGGUUCAGGGAUCACAAAAGUUGUUUUAUCCUUUGGGCUUUUGCAACUUGCUAUUUUCUUAAUGAAGAUCUGGGGAAAAGAUUAGUUUAAGUGGUUUUUAAAGUAGCCAUUAGCUCAGGACAUAUUCAGCCAAGGCAGGAUAAGUAGUUUUGCCAGCAUUCUCCUGUAGAUAUUUUUUUCCACGGUCUUUUUAGAAAGAUAACUUUUAAAAACCUUUAUUUUCUGUGAUUAAUCUCUUUCCCUACUUUUCUAUAGAGGACCAGGAAUAUGUGUCAGUAAUUCUUGGGCCUGGGGCAGAUGAUCCAUGUGCUGGCAGACAGAUAUCCAAAGUGACAAAAGAGGUUGUCCUUUGAAAAUACUUUUCCUGGCUUAUGUUCUAUAUUUUUGUAUUUGAUUCAGUGAAAAUGUUUAUUGAGGACCUACUACAUACCACACACUCUGAUACAUUAUGAGGGGUUGGGGGACCUAUAUUAUAGUCCAUCUGGGAUACAGGAAGGAUGAAUAAAGAAUGCAAACAAUUAUAGUACAAAACAGAAUAAAAUCUGACAUGCAAUAAAUUUGAUAUCGAAUAGUAUAGAGGAAGAAAGCAUAUUUUAUUACUGGAGUUAGGAAAUGUAUUACAAAGUUGAUGGUAUCUUGAUGGGUCUUGAAGGAUAGAUAGAAUUUUGACAGGUGAGGAGGUAUUCCAAUGCAGAAGAAUAAUAGGAGCAAAAGCACAGAGGUGAGAAAUUGGAGGGGAACUGUGAAAAUUACCACAUAGAAUAGAGGCAGGGAAAUAAAGGGUGGCCAGAUUUAUAUAGUGAGCAGUGAGCUGUGUGGACACAGUUGACUGUUCACUCCUUCUUGAACCCCUGCUUACUCCAGAGUCACCACCUCUCCUGGCUUUUUGCCAAUCUUCCUGGCCACAGUUUCUCAGUCUUCUCUUCUGGCUCUCUUCGUUGGCCUGAAUGCUACAUGUUGAAUGAUGGUCAGCUUCAGUUUUUGUGUGCUCUCUUCUCUUAAGUUGCCAUCAUUUCAAUAUCUUUAAAUGUAAUCUACAUCUAGGUGACCUCCAAACCAGUAACCUUGCCCAUGACCCAUGUCCUGAACUACAGAUUGUCUAUAAAACCAUAUACUCAAUAUCUUCACUUUUUAUGUCUAAAUCUCUAUGUCUGAUUUAGAAUUCUUGAUUCUUUGUUUUUCCUCUGUGCUGGAAAUCCUGUUCUUACCAGUCUUUCCCCAUCUUAAUUAAUGAACUUGCCAUCCACCUAGUGGCUUAGUCCUCAAAACUAGAGGUUAAUCUAGAUUUAGUCAUUUUUCUUACUCUUGUCAUAUCAUUACAUAUUAUUUUGAGUUUACCUCUACCAGACCCCAAAUAGGUAACUGCUGUCUUUGUUAUGAUAGUAAUAUUUGCCUCUGAGUAUAUGUGAAUUAAUUUGAUAAAAAUAAAUAUUAUAUUUAAAAUAUUAA